UGUUGCUCCAGGUCAUCACGGCGG
rnacentral:siRNA from 1 species